rnacentral:tRNA from 1 species
GUGGGUAUAGCUCAGUAGUAGAGCAUAUGCUUAGUAUGCAUGAAGUCCCAGGUUCGAGCCCCAGUACUUCCA